CGUGGGUCUACACUCGCAUAUGUCUUUAGAUCUGGGCACAUUUUUGCCCACUGAUGCAUCCUCUCCCCCUGACACGCUUGCUCGAGCACGCGCGCACACACAUUUUCAUUGCCACGCUGAUGCCUUCUCCCCCUCUUACACUCUCUCUCUCUCUCUCUCUCACAGUUGCUGGCACGCAGGGCCCGCAGCGCAGAAAGGGAACUCUGCUGUGAGGCCUAGCGCGUUGCCAUGGGAACAGCGGGAGCUGUGGUAAUGAACACCAGAUCUGGGAUUAGAGGCCUCCCCACUUCCCUCCCUCCCAUUCCCAUUCCUCUCCAUCCCCCUCCCGUUCCCCUCAGCCACCAAAAAUGCUUCCCCAGAACCCAGGCUUCUCCUGGGUCCCUCCAGGGCUCCUGCCUCCAUCCAGGCACCGGACCAUCUCAGGAACUAUGGGAAAGAGAACUCUGUGAGCUCUGGGACAUGGGUCUAAACCACCAUGACUAUCUCUGGGAGCCUUGGAGGAGGAUGUCAGCGUAUUGGAUUCACCCAAACUGGGUGGGAUUAGCCAGAAUGGACUUCUUGGAGGAGAUGAAUUUUGAAUUCCAUGUGGUAUGACCCUCUCAUAAAGUGAAGAUGGCAGCUAUUCCCAGCAUGGCUCUCUUAUCUCAGAGCACCUUUUAGAUUUGCCCAGGAAAUCUUUACUUUGCCUGGGUUCUUGAAUAGGGAAGCCUGUGACAUCUGAGAGUACAGAGCCUCACUGACCACAUGCCAAGGGAGUCCUGCAACUGUCUUCCCUAAAGCCCAAGGCCCACACUGCUGACCUCAGCUUAUUAUCCUGUGAGGUCCUACCUAUGAGUCAUCAUGAGGAAAGAGGGAGAAGCUGAGUCACCCAGAAGUCUCCACCAACAAAAGACAAUUGUCCCCCAGGGAACUGUGGCUUGAUCUUAGGGCUCUAGCAAAAGUCCUGCCCUGACCCUACCUAAGAAGGGAAAAAGGAGAGAGGAAGGCAGGGAGAGAUGACAGAAAGCAGGAAGACUUAGCAAACAAGACAAGUCAGAUCAGGACAGUGUUAAAGGGUGAAAGGAAAUUCCAGGAGGACCAGAAUGUAUUAAUUUCAGAAGCUCAAUAGUUCACGGUGAACAGGGGGGCCAAGCAUGGCACAAUGGGGAAGGGAUGGUAUCAGAUCACCAGAUCCACAGUGAGAAGGAAGCCAACCCCUCCAGAACAAUGCCUGGGUAUUAUAUUCAUACCUUCCAGGAACUCUACCCUAAUCCAACCUCCUGUAUGUACCUGCACUCACACCCCAACCUGCACGUCCCUGAUCCUUCCUCAGGUUAAGUGGGGGGCAGGAGGUUUCUCUCUACCUUUGCCCCUGUGAAGACAUUCAAACCAUACUAUCUCAGUUUAAUGAGUGUUCUGCCUCUCCUGUUCCUUCCAAGCUCAUUCAGUCCAGGCAGGACAAGGGUCCAGACUAUUUAUUCCAAAAGGAUAGGAGUCAGACCCAUUCAGAUACAGCUCUCUGUUCAGUUCUCUAGCAUUGGGGACACCAACACAACUACCAUCCAACCACCAGCUCCCACUUCCCUGGAUCCUGUUUUUUAUGGUGGGCAGGGCUGAUAUGGACUGUUGCACUCUAUUCCCAACUCUGAUGUAUGCAUAGUAGUGACGCUGAAGGAGAUGCCAGUAAUGUUGGCAACAAGAACAUUAAAGUCAGUAGUGAUGGUCAUGAAGAGCAGGGUGGUGUAUGAGUGGCAAUGAGGCCAAUGGCAGUGAUGCUGAAGAGGAUGGUGAUGAUGGUGGUCAUGGUGAUGAUGGUAAUACUUCCUGACCAAGAUGAUGAUGAUGUUGAGUGGUGAUGACAGCUGACCAUCAUUGCCUUCUUUUUUUUCCCUGUACUUGUUUAACUCUACAAAAUCCAGCUCUGUUUUUUUAAUCCUGAUCUUCUGUCUUAGAAUCAAUAUUGAGUAUCAAUUCCAAUGCAGAACAGUAAGGGUUAAAAAACUUGGGUUCAGUGACUUGCCUGGCAUCACACUGCUAAGGAAGUGUUUGAGGUUAAAUUUUGAACCCAGGACCACCAGACUCCAGAUCUUGCAUUCUAUCCACUGAGCCAUCUUAGUUGCCCCAUAAUCAAGCUCUGUUUAAUCUUAUUAUUCUUCUAGAAGCACUGACUUAAGGAUUGGGAUUCUACCAUUGCCAACCACUAGUGAAAGAAUUCUGACUAUCAGACUGUGACCUUCUUGAGACAAGGAUCACUUUUUGUUUCUCCCAGCCUCCCUUGUCCCAGUGCUUAAUGCAGUGCCUGGCAUAUAGUAGUUGCCUAAUAAAUGCUUAUUGACUAACUGAUUUUGAAUAGCA
ensembl:lncRNA